rnacentral:rRNA from 1 species
GAAUCUUGCGCAAUGGGCGAAAGCCUGACGCAGCCAUGCCGCGUGAAUGAUGAAGGUCUUAGGAUUGUAAAAUUCUUUCACCGGGGACGAUAAUGCAGGUAACCGGAGAAGAAGCCCCGGCUACCUUCGUGCCAGCAGCCGCGGUAAUACGAAGGGGGCUAGCGUUGCUCGGAAUUAGUGGGCGUAAAGGGCGAGGAGGCGUAUCGUUAAGUCAGAGGUGAAAUCCCAGGGCGCAACCCUGGAACUGCCUUUGAUACUGGCGAUCUUGAGUAUGAGAGAGGUAUGUGGAACUCCGAGUGUAGAGGUGAAAUUCGUAGAUAUUCGGAAGAACACCAGUGGCGAAGGCGACAUACUGGCUCAUUACUGACGCUGAGGCGCGAAAGCGUGGGGAGCAAACA